ensembl:lncRNA
AUGGAGGACAAAAAGUCUGUGGUGGACAGUUUGCGCCAAAGAGCCAAACACUUUCGUUACUCGCGGGUUGGCAGCGACAAAAGCCCCGACAAGCCAGAGGUGAGCGAAGAGCGUUUGUUGGACCAGCGGAUGAGCACAUCUGUCAUGGACGUCCUGCAGAGGAGUCGGAUGUCCUCCCUAAAAAGCCCCACCCACCAACAGCCAGCUGACCUCGGAACAUCCCCUGGCUGCAACAGUAGCCCAGACUCCCCCUUCAGCUUUACUCUGCGAAACAAAGAGGGCAGCCCCAGCCUCUCUGAUUCACUAGACUCGACCGGCUGGCUGUCGCAGGAGUCAGUCACUGAUGCCCCAUGUGAAUACAACUUCUCCAAGUCCACAGAUGAGAUGGAUCAGGUGCUGCGUUUGAGGGACACGCAGCUUCCUUCAUCAGAGAGCUUGGCUGAGAAGCCGCAUUUCAACCGAAAUGAUUCAGAUAUGUUCUCCAUACAUGACAACGAGCACAAUAAUGUAAGUAUUCACAUGUUUGCUUUGUGCAUGUUUGUGUUAUUUUGUUGUGUUGCAUUCAGCGGAUGUUGUACUUUAAAUGCCCCAAUGGUGUUCUUUUCCAAAGCUUACAUAGAAGGCUCAAGGUUUGCUUACUGAACAUGGGAAAGUUAAAUAAAACAGCAUUUUACCAUGGUAGUUCAUGGUGCUCCCUAAUACUAGUACUUUUUAUUUGGCAAGUUAACAAAUACUUACAACACAAAACUUGUACAUCCUAAAGGAAAUAGCAGUGCAUUUGAGGUUGCAAAUUAAUAGUUGCUGUUGCAUGUUGUUGUUCUGUGUAAAGGAAAUGCUGCUGUACUGUUUUAUGAAAGCCAUGCUAUCAGCAUGCAUCAAAAAUGUAAUAUGAAACUAAUAAUGCAGUUUGGUAUGCAAUCAGUGUACGCUACUUUGCAAAUGUUCUUUUUUUUUUUUAAGAAGUAGAUACUUUAACAAGGAUAAAUUAAAUUGAUCAAAGGUGGCAGAAGCAUUGAUCCCGCAUAUUCCAUCGCAUUUUUUAAGAAAACCUGCCACAAAAUCAAGGAUUUUUGCCCGCAACAAUCACAAAAAUAAUCUGCGUUUUUCUGGAGGGACUGAAAAAGAAAGUGCGUGUGUUAUGAUGUAACUGGCCAACACUUCUAGAUUUUUUCACUACUUUUAGGUUUUUAUGAGUUCACAACUGACAAAUUUAAAAAAAAAAAAAUAGUUUUAAUUAUAGCAUGUCACACUGCUGUCACUGCUCGACAUGUCAAGUCAACUACCCAGUUAUAAUGUCCAAAUGACCCGUAUAAAAGCUUCUGUUAUUGUUCUCUAAUUUGUUUUAUUUUGUAAAUCAGAUUCUGGACAUGAAGACAGAAUCAGCUGGAGUGAAUGAGCAUCAGAGGCAAGCUCAGAGAACGUAUCUGCUCACUAUAUGCCUGAAGGAGGGCCGUGGACUGGUCAUUCGAGACCGCUGUGGUAAGUGUCAAAUAUCUGCGAAUAAACACAAUACACCCUGAAACACUACACACAUCCUCCAUUUUUAAUAACAAUCAGUGGUUUUUGUAUUAGUGCUUAUUUGUUAAAGGUGUACCCAUCGCUGGGAGUUAACGCAGCCCAGUAAAAUGUGAUCCACUGCAUGAUUAUAGUGUGUUUUUGCCAAUAUCAAAAUACUUCCUUCCUGAGUUUACUGUGUGGAGACAAAUGUAAAUAAGCUUUCAAAACACUGCUCCGUUUGUUUGAGCGACCUAACAUGUCCACUAGCGAAUUAUCCAGUAGCAGGGGUUUAGGGCAGGACUAUUAAUUAUAACCCAUUUAGCAGGGAAUUGACUAAUUCUUUCUAAUGAACAGAGGGUGGAAGCACUUUGUUCUAAUCUUUAUUUUUGCAAUUUUGUUCAGUACCAGUAGUGGCAUAGAGAUUAAAUAGCACACUUCACCUUUAUUUAUAUUAAUUCAUUCAUUGAUUUCUUUAUUUAACCAGUUUAAGAACUUAUUGAGAUUAAAAUCUCUUUUGCAAGAGUGACCUGGCCAAGAAAGCAGAAAGAAAUAACAUAAUAUAUACAAGUUUACAUCAUAACACAAAACACAAAUCAAAGAUCACAACAGCAAUUCACCAAAAACACACAGCUUGUUAAAAGUUGCUUAAAUCCAUGUAAUGAUGGAAACACGCUUUAGAAUGUUUUCAGUUUAUUCCAAGCCAAAGUAGUCUUUUGAACGAAGAUUGUAGCAUAUCUCUGAUUUAGAAAAACUCAGAGACGAAUAAGACGAAUCAAAUAUGAAUAAAAAAUUAGAAUAUGAAACUAUGAAUGCUAGCAAACAUUUCAACUGGCUUUGAUCAUGUGUUACUAGCCUUUAAAUAAAUUGUAUCACUCUUUAAAGGGGUCAUAUGACAUUGCUAAAAAUAACAUUAUUUGGUUUAUUUGGUGUAAUGCAAUGUGUUUAUGUGGUUUACAGUAAAAAACAAAACAAAAAAAAACCUUAUUUUCUACAUGCUGUACAUUUUUCCUCUAUGCCCCGCCUUCUGAAACGCGUCGAUUUUUACAAAACUCAUCUGGCUGAAAAUCGAGAUGCACAAUGAUUGGCCAGUUAUCCAGUGCAUUGUGAUUGGCUGAAUACCUCAAGUGUGUGACGGAAAUGUUACAAACCUUAACAUACUGUGAUGCAGUCUCCCAGCAUGACGAGACAAAACCAAUAAAACCCAUUACAAACAAGGCAUUUGUUGCAUCCAGUGAGGACAUAAUUACUGAUUUUAAUGACUUAUAUUGUAAUUUUACACGUUGCAUUUCGUAUUGUAUUGCACAACAUAAACAUAAAACCAUGUCUGCAUUUGUGAUCGGAGCAAUGACACACAACAAGCUCUACUCUACACUGCUCAAAACUCAUGUUUGAAUCAUCAGUGGCAAAUUCUUUAAAUAUGAAGACGUACUUACAGGCUGUGAAUCAGAAGCGCCAGACUGUCCUUGAAAAGUUGGAAUUGCCCCACUUUAUAGAAACAGCCUUUGUGCACAGACGGCAUUGUAGGCUACUCUUCCAGGAUCGGGAAACAGUCCUCUGUAAAAUGCGCUGUACACAUCUGAAUAUUUGGGUUGAACUGUUCUGGAACAGUUUUGUAAAUACAACUUAACCACUGAUUUCUAGUUGUGUUCUCUUAUGGAAGACCAAACAAAGUCGUUUCGCAUUCACAACGAAACACAGCUUCAUCACAACAUGGGGGCGGCGCCAACAAUACUACAGCGAGAAUCAAAGUUACGGCUUCUUUCUUUGCGUGAACAUUUGGGUGGCAUUAUGCUAAUCUUCCCACACAGUGACAUUUGGAGGUGUGUUUAAAUGAGGCAUUUUAGGAGGGCGUGGACUAAACAAAAGAAUAUCUCUUUGGGUUUGAGACUUUUUUCAACUUUAGGGAUCUUAUCUAUGCACAAACAGCUUGUAACACUCCAAAGAGAAAGGAAAACUUGCAUCAUGUGACCCCUUUAAUCACUCAGCUUUGCUCUGGUUGACUGCAUUAACACCGGAACGUGUGCAUUACUUUCAUACUUUCCUCAACAUUCCUCCCAGCACAUUCAAUCCUGUCUGCAGCCACACCUGCAUAGAUGCAAGAAACACGUUUAACCUUCAAAGCACACUAUUGACUUUACUGGCACAUGAGGCACUCGUCUAAGACAUGGAAAAACACAGACAGGUGGAGACUAGGAUAUGCAUUGGCAUACUUCCUCUUCCCCAGUUUAUUUACUGCUUUUUAUUGUGUCUGUAUUGCGUCAUUGCUACGUGGCUCAUUAAACAGUCUUUUUUCCUGUUUAUAAGUCUGUGUAUUUUGCUGUAACUUCGUGACGUUUUCUCAAGAAGGUGACACCAAUCUUAAUUGUUUUUCCUUUAGAAAAAGAAUGUUGGAAAGAUUAUCCUUCUGUUACUGACAUUUUUCCUCUUUGUUUAUUGGGUGUUUUCAAAGGUGUUUCUAUUAUAUAUUAGAGCAGCUUGAGACAUUACAGUCAGUAUAUGCAUAUUAUAUUCAGUGUUUGCACACAUGCCUUUAUUGUAGAUGAUAUUUGCACAUAUCAUAUUGCAGCGUGAGUUCACAAGUCAACGUGAAUUGCUGAUUGCAACUCAUUUUACUUUUGUAAUGGAUAUCAAUAAACAGGAUAUUCAAAUAUAUACUACAGUACAAAGGUUUGUUUUGCCAUCAGUGUUUUUGAAAUAAGUCUGUUAUGCUCAACAUGGUAGAAUUUAUUUGAUCAAAAAUACAAUGAAAACAAUAAUAUGGUGUGUUAUUAUUAUUACAGUUUAAAACUACUUGUAAUAAUUUUUCUUCCUGUGAUCCAAAGCUAAAUUUCCUAUAGCCAUUACUCCACUCACUGUAAUAAAUAAAAUUUGAUUUCAGAUUUAAUAAACAUUUAUAACAGGUACUGAUAAAUUAAGCAAGUAUUUAGAGUUGCUUUUGAAUUUUGUUGCUUUUAAAGUGAUAGUUCACCAAAUAAAG